rnacentral:rRNA from 1 species
GACGAACGCUGGCGGCGUGCCUAAUACAUGCAAGUAGAACGCACAGUUUAUACCGUAGCUUGCUACACCAUAGACUGUGAGUUGCGAACGGGUGAGUAACGCGUAGGUAACCUGCCUGGUAGCGGGGGAUAACUAUUGGAAACGAUAGCUAAUACCGCAUAAUAUUAAUUAUUGCAUGAUAAUUAAUUGAAAGGUGCAAUUGCACCACUACCAGAUGGACCUGCGUUGUAUUAGCUAGUAGGUGAGGUAACGGCUCACCUAGGCGACGAUACAUAGCCGACCUGAGAGGGUGAUCGGCCACACUGGGACUGAGACACGGCCCAGACUCCUACGGGAGGCAGCAGUAGGGAAUCUUCGGCAAUGGACGAAAGUCUGACCGAGCAACGCCGCGUGAGUGAAGAAGGUUGUCGGAUCGUAAAGCUCUGUUGUAAGAGAAGAACGGGUGUGAGAGUGGAAAGUUCACACUGUGACGGUAGCUUACCAGAAAGAGACGGCUAACUACGUG